AACUGUAACGUAUUUUAUCAAAAUUCAGACAUCCUUUACUAAUUUCAUGUAAAUGUAUUUUACCAACAACAUCGUUUGAAACAUUCUGAACAAAGCUAUUAUUUGUUGCUGAAGAGCUGACAUUGGAUGUCCACCAGUCAGGAUGACAGUGUUAUAUGAAAUGCUGUAUCUGGAGCUCCUAGUAUUAAUGGAACCAGUCAAUUUCCAAAAUCACUAAUUAUAAUGAGUGUAACUAUGAAAAAAGUAUAACAAAAGCAUAAGCAGUGACAUCAACAUUAUGAAUUGGAUAAUUGCCAAUUGAAGUUCCCGGAUUACUUAAUUCUGCUCGAAUUCAAAUUCCUAAUGAGGUUUCCAAUAUACCAAC